AUUCGAGCGUCAUUUCAACCCUUAAGCCUAGUUGCUUAGUGUUGGGAAUCUGCCCUGUAUUUAUAGGGCAGUUCCUUAAAGUGAUCGGCGGAGUUAGGGCAUACUCUAAGCGUAGUAAUAUUCUUCUCGCUUCUGUAGUUGUCCUGGCGGCUUGCCGUUAAACCCCUAUAUUUCUAGUGGUUGACCUCGGAUUAGGUAGGAAUACCCGCUGAACUUAAGCAUAUCAAUAAGCGGAGGAAAAGAAACCAACAGGGAUUGCCCUAGUAACGGCGAGUGAAGCGGCAACAGCUCAAAUUUGAAAUCUGGCCCUAGCGGUCCGAGUUGUAAUUUGUAGAGGAUGCUUUUGGUUAGGUGCCUUCUGAGUUCCCUGGAACGGGACGCCAGAGAGGGUGAGAGCCCCGUACGGUUGGACACCGAGCCUCUAUAUAGCUCCUUCGACGAGUCGAGUAGUUUGGGAAUGCUGCUCUAAAUGGGAGGUAAAUUUCUUCUAAAGCUAAAUACCGGCCAGAGACCGAUAGCGCACAAGUAGAGUGAUCGAAAGAUGAAAAGUACUUUGAAAAGAGGGUUAAAUAGCACGUGAAAUUGUUGAAAGGGAAGCGUUUGCGACCAGACUUUUUCCAGGCGGAUCAUCCGGUGUUCUCACCGGUGCACUUCGCCUGGUUUAGGCCAGCAUCGGUUCUCUUAGGGGGAUAAAGGCCUGGGGAACGUAGCUCCUUCGGGAGUGUUAUAGCCCCUAGCGUAAUACCCUUCGGGGGACCGAGGAACGC
rnacentral:rRNA from 1 species